ensembl:lncRNA
AAAUGUUCUGGCGUUUGGGGAAGGCAUUGUCAAAGCCACGGCUAUCUAUUGUGUCUGUGUGGCUGACUCUCCCUCUCUCCUCUCUCUCUCCCUCCGCUCUCCCAAUCCUGGGCCUCUCUCAGCUCUGGAGCGAGGGAUUGACAGAGAGAGAAAAGAAGAAGAGAAGCGUGGCGGCGAUUUGGCAGCUGCCCGGUGCCCAGCUGCAUUGGAAAACUCCUGCUGCCUUUUCCUUUGCGGUGGUUCCCUCCCGGAGUGGUUUGUUUGGGGGACUGGUGUCCUGGGUGGGUGUCUGGCUACGCUCCCCUGCGGCAGAUCUGGCUGCUGGGGCUGUGACUGUGGCUGUACCUCCUGGGGGAGCUGAGGAAUGGAGGUCUGGCCAUAAUGCUGUACUCUAGAGGCUGUGGACUGUGUAGAGACUGGGAGACGAGUGGAGGCAGGCUGCAACAAGGGACAAGGGCUGGUGCCUCCUCAUUACGAACCAGACCUGGGUAAGUUGAUUGAAGCUGUUUUCCUGCCGCUCUCUCGUUUUUUUUCUCGAUCUACGUAACUUAUGGCUGUAGAUUUAGACCGCCUGCCUCCCUUACACCUCUCUGUCUCAAACUGGUUGUGGAAGGUUCAGUGUGGAUUCAUAUUCAACCAUCCUCGUGCACAUAUCCAGAUCAUCGCUCUGCCCUCCUAAUAUUGAAAUGAAACGAGCCACAUGAAUGUUUCAAGAUAAACUGACUUUGUUUUCUUUUGCUUGGGUAUUCUGUAAAGUAGUUUUGAGUCAGUGGCUGGUGUGCUGCUGAAUCCAGGAUUUCUGUCUGACCGUCCCUUAACAACUGGCAGCUGCAGCUUAGGAAUAGAGAGCAUGGGAGCUUAAGGAACCGAGGGCUAGCUUUGGGUUUACCUGGAGCAUUUUUCAAAGUGCUGUAUUGUUUCACCUGGGGGGGUGGGGAGAGACACAGAGAGGGACAUAGGGAGAGAGAGAGAGAGAGAGAGAGAGAGAGAGAGAGAGAGAGAGAGAGAGAGAGAGAGAGCGCGAGCGAGCGAGAGAGUCGGUGGGAGGCGGGGGUCUCUCCAGAGGGAAAGAGAGAGGCAGAGGGGGGAGGGGGAGAUUGGUCAAUGUUGUGUCUGGCUUAUGGUUGCACUUGUUGUAUGUUAUACAGACAGGGAGCCAGAGAAGGGGGCAUGCAUUGCCGAUAUACCUCACGGAAGGAAACCUUUAUUUUCAUGGAAAUCGUGUGUUUGUUUCUAGUCUAUUUGGUACUCUCAUGCCAGCAUGAUUCAUUCGACUCACAGUCUGUCUGGGAGUUGAAAUAGUACAACUAUUAAAUGUGCCUCUCGCAAUCCCUGAGACCCUAACUUGUGACGUUGUGCUCUCAUGUCCACGGGUUAGGCUCUCGGGAGCUGGGAGUGGUGCGCUGUCGUCCCGUCUGUCGCUCUCUCUGCAAGACAAAGGCAUUUCAGACUGUCAAACGUACAUAGACACACUAGAUUGUCAGUGAAAGGAAAUCGUCUGGAAAGAAAAGUGAAAAAAGGUUCGCUGGAAUCAGGCGGCAGUGUAUGGGGGGGGGGGGGGGGGGGGGGGGGUCGAAGGAAUGCCGGCUCGAGGGUCAUGUGACACAAUGGUGGGUUGAAAUCAGCUGAGGAAUCUUUGUGGUGGGGUGGAUGAUGGAGGGGGGAACUUACGUUCAGUGAACACGUUUAACCCAACGUUACCAAUCCUGCACUUGUGUCUGAGGCCCACAAAAAAACUCAACUAGCCACUGAUCCUGUCUGCUCUGUUAUUCCUUUGUCUUUCUUCUGGCGACGGGGAAAGUAUUUAUUUCUGUCCAUGCCCUAUUCUGUCUUGAGAGCAGCACAAAGUACUGUGGAGAGCGUGAACCUAUAAGAGCUCGGUACACCUGUGUUUGACCUCAUGGAACCCUCGUCUUCAUGCACACACGCUCGCCGUGCAUACACACGUUUGCCGUGCAUACACACACAAGGUAGAGCUCUUUGUGUGCAGAGAGAGUACGUUCGCAGGUGUUUGUAUAUCAGAGAGCCUGUAUGUUAGCAGUUAUUACCAUGUCACAUUGAUUGACUGUGAGUCUGUAUGCUGUCGCUGUGCUGUAUCGGAUAUAUUCUAACGCUCUUUUUUUAACGGAGCAGCUAGCAAAUUCUAGUGUGUCUGCAAAAUGACUUGAAAUAACGGCAAGUUUGUUGGGUUUGUACUGGCUUUAGGGACAGCAAACUGAACAGCGGCACACCCAGCUUCUGAUAGCAAUGGGGCUAACAUGCGUACAGCUAACAUACAUCUUUUGUUUGCGUUCUGCCCUUGACUAGACAUUCAUUUUUACAGUCCUCAUAACAUCGUCUAUUGUCAACAAUGCUUGGUGUGAUUAGGCUAGCAUCAUGCUAAUAAAAGCACUGUGGAUUCUCCCUCCCUCUGUGAGCCAUGCUGGAAGGGUAGAGAAACUGUGUUUCAGAACAGCGACUCCAUGAUAGCCUCGGCCCAUCCCCUCAUUGCUGCACUGGCCCAUCCCCUCAUUGCUGCGCUGCAGGAGCAUGUUCUUCCUCUCACUGCUAACCUCUUUGUGCUGGCUGUGUAAAAUGGCACCCUUUCAGGACUCCUCACCAGUGUGGCAGUGUGCGUAAGGACUUAGUGCUCCAGAACAGUAACCCUCAGUCAGAUAUCCCUACACCGGCCGACGUGUGUGUGUGUGUGUGUGUGUGUGUGUGUGUGUGUGUGUGUGUGUGUGUGUGUGUGUGUUUGCAAACCGAAACUUAUUUAUUCUGUACUACUAUAACUAAGUAUAGCAGAGAUGCAAUAACAACAGCUGCCCCUGUGAGGUGUGUGUGUGAGUGAGUAUGUGUGUGUGGGUGUCGUUAACUGCUAGCGCACUGCAGUGUGGGCAACCCUGGGUAAAAAGCAGUCUCAU